rnacentral:rRNA from 1 species
GUCUCUGGCCAUACCACCCUGCACACACCCAACCUUGUCUGAUCUCAGAAGCUAAGCAGGGUCGGACUUGGAUGGGAGACA